UACGGAGGGUGCAAGCGUUAUCCGGAUUUACUGGGUUUAAAGGGUGCGUAGGCGGACUUAUAAGUCAGUGGUGAAAGCUCGGAGCUUAACUCCGGAACUGCCAUUGAUACUGUUAGUCUUGAAUUUGGUAGAGGUAGGCGGAAUGUAACAUGUAGCGGUGAAAUGCAUAGAUAUGUUACAGAACACCGAUUGCGAAGGCAGCUUGCUAUGCCAAUAUUGACGCUGAGGCACGAAAGCGUGGGUAGCGAACAGG
rnacentral:rRNA from 1 species